GUGCAUAAACAUCGGAGUGUUUUGUUGCAUUCCUGCCUCCGCCAUCAGCCACAUUGCCAGUGGCAUCCAGCCUGGCAUUAGCCAGCAAUAAACACCCGCUGAGGAUCUGCUAAAGGCUGGAAGGACUGAAUAAGAAGGGAUGCUGAGCAGGGAGUGGUUCAUUUUUUUUGCAGGAAAAUUUAACAGUCAAGUCCUGUCUGCCUACAUGGGAGACCCCAUUGCCCUUAACUUUGGGAGAAACAGCUCCUCAGGUAACACCCACUGACUGUGCAUUGGGGGCAGACAACUUUUUGAGUGAAGAACUGACCAUUUGUGGACAUUGCUUAGUAUUCUGGAAAAUGUGUAAAUUUGCUUUUUGAGCUUUGUAUUGGUGUUUUUCUUUUUUCUAUUUUAAUUACAAUUGAUUUUUGGUAUCAUUUAAGCACAACAAUGUUGCAGAAAGCACAUUUUUCAGCUGGGCUGUCGGGCUGAAAAUUAAGAUUUGCUGCAGAUUUUACUAGGAAGAGGGAGAUGACCUCUGUGGUUUUUUUGAGAGAGACAGAGAAAUCUGCAGGGAAUUGCUGUGCCCAAGCCCCAGAGUUAGCCUGGCUAUGCCUGGGAAAAAAACUGUGAAAAACAUGUUUUUUAUGCAUAUAAGGUGCUGUGUAAUAAGGUACAGAAAUAUGGGUUCAGCUGUGUGAUGCCAUGUGAAACCUCACAAAAUGUGGGUUUAUCCACCACAUUAAAAAAAAAUACAUUGCAAAAAUACAUUGCUUAUCAGAAAUACAUGG
rnacentral:lncRNA from 1 species